rnacentral:tRNA from 3 species
GCCCUCAUCGUCUAACGGUUAGGACACCACUCUUUCAAGGUGGAGAUCGGGGUUCGAUUCCCCGUGAGGGUA